rnacentral:sRNA from 1 species
AUAAUCCAUGCAGAUGGGGAAGCAGCUUUUUAAUGGCAUUGGGAAGACAGGCACAUCCUAUUAUGUAGUGCUCAGUGUGGAUGUUCGAUGCUCAGGGGCUUUUUGGGCCCUACACUUGGAUGAUUCAACUGGAAAACGUAUUGUGUCGAAAGGAAAAGUUUCCUUCAAUUCCACAUCCUGAGAGACAAUCAUUUUAAAAAUAGGGGACUCCUUCUCACAGUUCCGGUUUGCUGAGGAGAAAGAAUGGGAUAGUGAAGCUUCUUGUCCAAAACAGAAUUCAGCAUUUUACGUGGAUAGUGAGUUAUUGGUUCAAGCCCUUCAAGAGCUGCCUCUCUCCCUCCGACUCAACGUUGCUGCUGAACUGGUCCAGGCUACAGUUCCUUUAGAGCUUCCUCAGGUGAAACCAAAGAGAACUGAUGAUGGCAAGGGAUUAGGGAUGCAGUUAAAGGGGCC